rnacentral:rRNA from 1 species
UACGUAGGGUGCAAGCGUUAUCCGGAAUUAUUGGGCGUAAAGAGCUCGUAGGCGGUUUGUCGCGUCUGCUGUGAAAACUGGGGGCUCAACCCCCAGCCUGCAGUGGGUACGGGCAGACUAGAGUGCGGUAGGGGAGACUGGAAUUCCUGGUGUAGCGGUGAAAUGCGCAGAUAUCAGGAGGAACACCGGCGGCGAAGGCGGGUCUCUGGGCCGUAACUGACGCUGAGGAGCGAAAGCGUGGGGAGCGAACAGG